rnacentral:rRNA from 1 species
AGUGAACGCUGGCGGUAGGCCUAACACAUGCAAGUCGAACGGCAGCACAGUAGGAGCUUGCUCUUACGGGUGGCGAGUGGCGGACGGGUGAGGAAUACAUCGGAACCUACUUUUUCGUGGGGGAUAACGUAGGGAAACUUACGCUAAUACCGCAUACGACCUACGGGUGAAAGCAGGGGAUCUUCGGACCUUGCGCGAUUGAAUGAGCCGAUGUCGGAUUAGCUAGUUGGCGGGGUAAAGGCCCACCAAGGCGACGAUCCGUAGCUGGUCUGAGAGGAUGAUCAGCCACACUGGAACUGAGACACGGUCCAGACUCCUACGGGAGGCAGCAGUGGGGAAUAUUGGACAAUGGGCGCAAGCCUGAUCCAGCCAUACCGCGUGGGUGAAGAAGGCCUUCGGGUUGUAAAGCCCUUUUGUUGGGAAAGAAAAGCAGCAGGUUAAUACCCCGCUGUUCUGACGGUACCCAAAGAAUAAGCACCGGCUAACUUCGUG